rnacentral:rRNA from 1 species
GAUGAACGCUGGCGGCGCGCCUAACACAUGCAAGUCGAACGAUUAAAGCACCAUCGGGUGUGUAUAAAGUGGCGGACGGCCGGGUAACACGUGGGCAGACUGCCCAUCUCAUAGGGUUAGCCACGGGCAACAGUGGAUAAUACAGAAUACAUCGGGACUUCCGCCUGGAAGACUCGAGAAAGAUCCGGCGGAGGGGGAUGGGCACGCGGCCUGUUAGCUUGUAGGUGAAGUAUUGGCCUACCAAGGCAAUGAUGGGUAGCUGGGUUGAGAGACCGACCAGCCAGAUUGGGACUGAGACACGGCCCAGACGCCUACGGGAGGCAGCAGUGGGGAAUCUUGCACAAUGGGCGAAAGCCUGAGGCAGCGACGCCGCGUGCGUGAUGAAGGCCUUCGGGUUGUAAACCGCUGUCAGCAGGGACGAGGCGAAAGUGACGGUACCUGCAGAAGAAGCCCCGGCUAACUACGUG